UACGUAGGGUGCAAGCGUUGUCCGGAUUUAUUGGGCGUAAAGAGCUCGUAGGCGGUUUGUCGCGUCGGAUGUGAAAACCCAGGGCUCAACCCUGGGCCUGCAUUCGAUACGGGCAGACUAGAGUAUGGCAGGGGAGACUGGAAUUCCUGGUGUAGCGGUGAAAUGCGCAGAUAUCAGGAGGAACACCGGUGGCGAAGGCGGGUCUCUGGGCCAUAACUGACGCUGAGGAGCGAAAGCGUGGGGAGCAAACAGG
rnacentral:rRNA from 1 species